UAACGACUCUCGGCAACGGAUAUCUCGGCUCUNGCAUNGAUGAAGAACGUAGCGAAAUGCGAUACUUGGUGUGAAUUGCAGAAUCCCGUGAACCAUCGAGUCUUUGAACGCAAGUUGCGCCCGAAGCCAUUAGGCCGAGGGCACAUCUGCC
rnacentral:rRNA from 1 species